rnacentral:lncRNA from 1 species
ACAGUGGUAAUCCACCCAAGUACUAUUCAUGUACAGGUAUCUAUAUAAUGUUAUCAAUGACUGUCCUUAGAUCCAAAAAAUGGCUAAAAAGUAAAAGUACAUAUUAUUCAGUUCAGAUGUAUGCAAGCAGAAAAGGUGUCAGGUGGAAAUGAAGUCCUUACGAAAUCCCCCAAAAUCCAGCUUUGUUCACACUCAAGUUUAUAAAUGUUGUCUGUCUGUUAAGGAUUAAAAAGCAUUGGUACAAGAUUCAGUAUGGCCAGUGCCCAAGUAAAAGGUUGAAAGCAGAAAAGAAGUGGUAGAUGAAAGAAGAGAGAGCAAGAAGUGGAAGAGAUACUUAUACUGUUUAACAGACUAUCAAGGAUUUUGAGUGAUGUCCAUUGUAUAACAACUUGCCAAGAUGUUGCCGUGUAGUGAAGAAGUCUGGUGAAUGUUGCCCAGUAGUUCAAUGUCAGGAUGGAUACUUCUUUUCCUCAUCCACAAACCUCGGUUCCCUAGCUUAUGGCUUGGCUCUAAGUGUUUCUGACCCUCCAAGCAGGAAAAACACAAGUGCAGGAAACUUUACCGUCAGAGGAGGUGUUGCCACUGGGAGCUGGUAGUGCAGGCUUUACGGCACCAACAAUAAAUGGAUGUUUAUAUUAAAGGACAGUUGUACAUUAAGGACCAGGCUUGGAAAGAUGGAUGUGAAUUUUCUUGUAUCAGCAAGGAUGCCAGUACGGGACUUCAUGCAAACACAACUUCAGCCUCCACUCAGUGUGUCAUAUAGACUUGAGUUCUUUGGUGUGGCAAUCAUCAACUGUAUUCUGUCUAUCAUUCUAGAGACAUUCCUUCUCGACCAUGCUGUUAUCACAGAAAAGUUCAUGCAAUUGAAGGAACGUUGGUUCCUGUCCCUCAAGUUCAAAAUAUAGCACCAUUGAAGAGGAGAUAGUAUCUAAACCAGGACGGCCACCUGUCAGAGGAGACCCUAUUACAGCUCUAUAUUGGGAUGAUGUCAGCUUCUCAGAGCAGUAUACGCAGGGGACGGACAAAAUGUUGCCAAGUAAUGCAUACUCAAAGGACAGUUCAGCGUAUUGCUCAUCACAAUCAGUUGGAUUCACACUAAAAACAUCAACAAGUGAAAAUCCAAUUACAUCUGCAAGUUCAAUUGUCAGUAUGCCUAAAAGCUCAGCAUCUGAUGCUGGUGAGGGAAGUAAGUUAGCUUCUGGAACCAUAGCAGAAACUGUUGAAAUAGAGGACAUUGCUGGUGAUGAAGGGUAGAUUGCGGGAGCUGUAGAUUGGAGGGGAAGCACAAAAAAUGUACUCUUGGUUCAACAAGAGGCAGAGCAGCCUUCUAGAUGACACCCUUGUGUCACUGAACACUAUUUAUAUAUAAUGUCUUUGUUUUAGAUAGUUAAUAAAUAUUUGUCACUGAUGUAUGUGAAAUCGGCGUUCUUUACACUAAUAAUUUCAUUUUAUUGGCUUUAUUUUAGCUGCAUUUCAUGUUGAGUGAAUUAGGGUUAUCAAAGUCUUACUGAUUAGACUAGACUGUAAGUUAAAAUUUCAGAUUCAGGUCUUGCUAACUGGCCUAGAUUUGUUUUCACCAUAAUAUUAUUAUAUCUGCAUCACUUGUUUCUUGAUGGAUAAUUGUUCAAAGUAAAAUUCGUGUACACCUGUCUUACUUAACCUUUAGCUUGCUAAAUUUCUAAAAUGGAUUCUAAAAUGGAUUGGUCCAUCAUUCAAUUUAGGCAGUACCAUAGGUUGUUCACCUACCUUACUUAAACACAUAUAACCUGCUAAUAUGUUUUUGCCAGGAGCUGUCAACAUUCCAAUAAGAAUUUGAUUCAAAGGCUCCAACUAAAUUUGUUUCACUAUUUCUGUCUGACACAUUGUUGUUUUUUUACAGAAAUUUUAUUUUCUAGGUUCUGGAGGAGUUGAUUUACUAAGAAACUGUACUAGAUCUAGAUACAUUUAAAAAGAAAAUGUCUGUCCUGUCUUCAGAAGUUAUAUUCCGUUGAUCUUGUCCAAUGAGGGCACAUUUUUGUCACAAAUUGCCAUCCCAUUGUCUUUCAUGAGCUUUCCAUAACAAAUAUCCAACUGUGAAUUUAUAUUCUAAAAGAUUUAUUUAAGUUUAAAUGUGUCUGUUUUGAAUGUUUGUGAGGGGUAUACUCAUUUGUCCUUGUCCCUCAGUCUGUAUUUUUUAAAUAGAGGUCAUUUUCCUUACACAUGUUUAAGUUGAUUUUUCCUAAGGCCAGGGUCACAAAGCAUGACUGUUUUUUGUUGUUGUCUUGGUCAUAAUUUGAUGAUAUUUUUUUCCAUACUAAACAUGAGUUUGAGUAUAGGGUGGUAUUUGAAUUAUCCCAGUUAAAGCAAACAAAGUUUGACUGUACAUCUGUACUUUUUAAGGUCAUAUAUUUAAUGAAUAUGUAAACUAUUGAAGAAACUUUUGGAAACAACAUACUACAUAUAGUUAUGGUCUUUUUGAAGCUUUUUUUUUAUAGUCCUGUCUGUAAAAAGUAUUGCAUUUACACUGUAACUUUGGGGGUGCUACGAUUAUUAUACAGGUUCUAUAAUUAUUAAUUAAGGCAUUAAAUACUGUUUUUAGCUCACCUGAGCACAAAGUGCUCAGGGUGAGGUAUUGUGAUCGCUCACCGUCCGGCGUCCAUCCGUCCGUCCGUCCACACUUUCCUUUAAACA